UGGCUCAGACGGUAAAGCGUCUGCCUACAAUGCGGGAGACCCGGGUUCGAUUCCUGG
rnacentral:tRNA from 1 species